AUUGAACGCUGGCGGCAUGCUUUACACAUGCAAGUCGAACGGUAACAGGGAGCUUGCUCCGCUGACGAGUGGCGAACGGGUGAGUAAUGCGUCGGAACGUGCCGAGUAGUGGGGGAUAACGCAGCGAAAGUUGUGCUAAUACCGCAUACGUACUGAGGUAGAAAGUGGGGGACCUUCGGGCCUCACGCUAUUCGAGCGGCCGACGUCUGAUUAGCUAGUAGGUGAGGUAAAGGCUCACCUAGGCGACGAUCAGUAGCGGGUCUGAGAGGAUGAUCCGCCACACUGGGACUGGGACACGGCCCAGACUCCUACGGGAGGCAGCAGUGGGGAAUUUUGGACAAUGGGCGAAAGCCUGAUCCAGCCAUGCCGCGUGUCUGAGGAAGGCCUUCGGGUUGUAAAGGACUUUUGUCGGGGAGGAAAUCCCCAGCGCUAAUACCGCUGGGGGAUGACAGUACCUGAAGAAUAAGCACCGGCUAACUACGUGCCAGCAGCCGCCGUAAAAC
rnacentral:rRNA from 1 species